GACGAACGCUGGCGGCGUGCUUAACACAUGCAAGUCGAACGAGUGGCGGACGGGUGAGUAAGGUCUGGGAAACUGCCCGAUGGAGGGGGAUAACUACUGGAAACGGUAGCUAAUACCGCAUACCAUCGGAUGUUCCCAGAGGGGAUUAGCUAGUAGGUGGGGUAACGGCUCACCUAGGCGACGAUCCCUAGCUGGUCUGAGAGGAUGACCAGCCACACUGGAACUGAGACACGGUCCAGACUCCUACGGGAGGCAGCAGUGGGGAAUAUUGCACAGUGGGCGCAAGCCUGAUACAGCCAUGCCGCGUGUAUGAAGAAGGCCUUCGGGUUGUAAAGUACUUUCAGCGAGGAGGCGUUACUCGCAGAAGAAGCACCGGCUAACUCCGUGCCAGCCGCCGCGGUAAUUC
rnacentral:rRNA from 1 species